UAUUUAUUUUAUUAUGUUUAUUUUUUGUUUAUUUAAUUAUUUAAUAAAAAUAAUUUUGUUGAAUUUUGUCUUAGUAUAUUUUGUAGAAUUGAUUUUUUAGAUUAUAGCUUAUUGGUAAUGUAAUUGUUUUAUGAAAUAUUAUUUUAAAUUUUUAAAAGUAGAUUUUAUUUAUUGUACCUUUUGUAUCAGGGUUUAUCAAAAUUUUAGUAUUUAUUUUACUUGUCUCGAUUUGGGUUGAUUUAUAAAUAAUUUAUAGUUAAUGUAUCAUAAUUAUUAUUAAAUUAUUUAUAGAAAUGAGAUGUUAAUCGUUUCCCAAGAUAUCUAGUUUCUUAAGAAAAAAUUUAAUUUUUUGAAGUUAAUUGUUUCUAUUUAAUUUUUUAAGUAUAAAUAUUAACUUAUUUAUUCUUUAAGGGAUAAGCUUUGAAGUUAAUAACCUAUAAUUUGUUUUGAUAAAAUAUAAUAGUAAGCUUUAGACCAGCUAUCUUUAAGAUUACGUUUUAGUUCAUUAUUUUUUAUUUUGAUUUUAUAAUUAUUUUAGGUUUUUUAUUAAGAUUAUUUAUUUAAUUUUAAAAUUUUUGUAAUAAUGAUAGAAUUAGUAUAUUUAUUUGUAUAUAAUUUUUACCUUGUGAAUUUAUUAUAAGGAACUAGGC
rnacentral:rRNA from 1 species